UACGAAGGGGGCUAGCGUUGCUCGGAAUCACUGGGCGUAAAGCGCCCGUAGGCGGAUCUUUAAGUCGGGGGUGAAAUCCCGGGGCUCAACCCCGGAACUGCCUUCGAUACUGAGGAUCUUGAGUCCGGGAGAGGUGAGUGGAACUGCGAGUGUAGAGGUGAAAUUCGUAGAUAUUCGCAAGAACACCAGUGGCGAAGGCGGCUCACUGGCCCGGUACUGACGCUGAGGUGCGAAAGCGUGGGGAGCAAACAGG
rnacentral:rRNA from 1 species